UAGGGAAUCUUCCGCAAUGGGCGAAAGCCUGACGGAGCAACGCCGCGUGAGUGAUGAAGGUCUUCGGAUCGUAAAACUCUGUUAUUAGGGAAGAACAAAUGUGUAAGUAACUAUGCACGUCUUGACGGUACCUAAUCAGAAAGCCACGGCUAACUACGUGCCAGCAGCCGCGGUAAUACGUCGGUGGCACGCGUUAUCCGGAUUUAUUGGGCGUAAAGCGCGCGUAGGCGGUUUUUUAAGUCUGAUGUGAAAGCCCACGGCUCAACCGUGGAGGGUCAUUGGAAACUGAGAAGCUUGGGUGCAGAAGAGGAAAGUGGAAUUCCAGGUGUAGCGGUGAAAUGCGCAGAAAUAUGGAGGAACGCCAGUGGCGAAGGCGACUUUCUGGUCUGUAACUGACGCUGAUGUGCGAAAGCGUGGGGAUCAAACAGG
rnacentral:rRNA from 1 species